AGGGAGACAUAAAUCUCUGUUUAUUCACAGACGAUAUUGUCAUCUAUCAAAAAACCCUAAAGAAUCUGCAAAUAAGCUGUUAAAACUGAAAGUGAGUUUAGUUCAGUGGCAGGGUACAAAGUCAAUAUCAAAAACCAAUUGCAUUUCUUUAUAUUAGCAAUAAACAAUCAGAAAUUAAAAUUAAAGUUUGCCAUGUACAGUGGCAUCAAAACUGUAAAAUACUUAAGGAUAAAUUCGACAAAAGAUGUUCAAGACCUGUACACUGAAAACUAUAAAACAUUGCUGAGUAAAAUUAAAUGUUAAAGAAGACCUAAGUCAAUUAAGAAAUAUACCAUAUUCCUAGAUUAGAUGACUCUAUAUUGUUAAGACGUCAUUUCUUCCAAAUUGAUCUGUAUAUUCAAGGCAUUCUAAUAGAAAUCCCAGCCAGCUACUUUGUAGAAGUAGCAAGCUGACUCUAAAGUUUAAAUUAAAGUGCAGAAGAUCUAGAACAGACAAAACAACUUGGAAGAAAAAAGAACAAAGUUAGAGGACAUUUUGUGUGUGUGUGGUUUUCUUAAAAAGUAUUUUUUUAGGAAGUAAUUUCUAAGAGUAGAAUUAGUGGAUAAAAGGCUAGAAGAAAGCUCAAUAUCUUAUUAAAUUUCACAGCUCAAAAACUUUUUGAUUUGAAAUAUUUUAAAAAUAAAUUUUAAGAUCUCAUAAGCUUGAGCAGUGCCCAAGUGAUUCCACCCUCUGGAGGCCAGGUGAUAAUGAAAUGAGAUGUGGUGGGAGGAUGGAGUAGGAUUACCUGCUGGUGACAUAAAUGAUGAAUGGGAAAGAAAAAUUCUAAUUUACUAACUAAAUUAAUAUUGUGGUAAAUUUACUAAUAAAUAAAAGGAAAAACAUCCUACUAUAUAGAAGAUAUUUUACAAAUAUUUGAUGUUUAUAAUUAUGCUUCAAUAGAGCAAAGACUAUCUUCACAUUAAUUUUUAGAAGCUCUAGAAGAUGUACUGAACUGGGAACCUGCUGAUGUAAACUUUAGUGCUCUGUGUGCCACUAACCAGACAAUUGACUUUGGGCAGGACUUUACGUCUCUAGGUCUUAACCUUGAUAUUUUCAAAAGGAGGUUAUUAAAGGACUAUUUUGAGAGUUAUGCCACAGAUUCUAUUUAGGCCUUUCUAUUAAUAUUUCAUUACUAUUACAUUUUGUUACAACUUCCAUCCAUUUCUUCCCUAUAGAAUCCAAUUCCUUAUAAUUUAUCUUUAUUAAAGAGCAGUACCAUGGGAUUAUGUCCAAGGAAUCAAAGGUUCUAAAAUGGUCUUCCCCUUUACCAUCAAGGAUCAGUAAAGAAGGCAUUAAGCCCAGUAUUGUGGCAUGAGCCACCGGGCCCAGCUGAUAAUCUUUAAUUUCUUCUUUGGUGAUUAAUCUUCCCUGGUUAGUGAGAUUUCAGACAGGAGAUUGAAGACAAUUGUGUUUCUUUUGGAAGGAAUUCCCUCAGUCAGAACUUCAGGGAGAGCUCUCCCU
rnacentral:lncRNA from 1 species